GUCUGUUCAUUGUGAGGUAUUGUGAGGGCUCCUCUGUGCCGAGAGGUUCUGUUUGUGGUCAGCAUUGAUAUUUACCAUCUGUUCACUGACUUGCUGUCUGUUUCUCAGCUAUGCCAUUUGGAUUCUCAUUCCGGUAAAGCUGAGGCCUGCCUGUCACCACAGCAGACUGUCAUGCCAGUGCACACGUGGCCAAAAAGGACAGAGUGACAUCUGGAAUUGUCCCCUAACUGAAGACCUCACCUUGGCUGGAGGGAGAAGGACGCAUUCUUGAAGACGGGACCGCGGAACGGCGUUGCGCCCAAGGAAAAUGAGACGGGAAGGGGACCCCCACCCGCUCGCUGUCAUGGAGAAUUCCAGGGGGCUUAUAUGGACAGCAGGGCUUGCACUUACCACCAAAUAAGAAAAGACAAGCACUGUCUACAAAACAGCACCGGGAAAAGUUAGACGGCGUGCACUGACAGGACACUGAGAUGGAACUGAAUUGCAGGCUUUUUCUUCAGAUGUUCGCAUCUGAGGAGGGUCAGAAUGCUGAGCGGCACUGAUGGAAAUGAGCGACUGCAAAGUGGUCGCCGGAUAAAGGGACAUGAAGGCUAGCGUUCGCUAUGUUAGCAUGCACGCUAACAGAUCUGUGCUCCACUUCUUCCCGGCACCGGGAAACUCAAAAGGCGGCCAACUGUCUCCGGAGCCCCACGUGGGUGUCUGAAGAUGUUUAUCACAAAUGACCAUCUCACAAAAGACAUAAGGCAGGUAGUGUGAUUGUCCUUCAACUGUUGUCUUCAGGAACAAAACUGCAAUCCCUGCUCACUGGGACACUGGAGUGCAAGUCCAUUAAACUGUCAGUGGCCUGGGAGCCCCUUCCUCGUGCUGCGGGGACCGGGUCCUGCAAAUGAGCGCCGGGCUACAACAAAAGGGCCACAUCAGAGAGCAAAUCAGGUUUAGCCUCUGGCUCCCAGCCCUAUCUCUGAUGAUUGGUCUGCUCUGUUCUGGGACCGCAUCUGUGUCUGCCAUUUUCAGGGGCCCGGUCCCACGUAACCAAAGCGAAACAGGGACACUGGUAACGAGUUCUUGAGGACACAGGGAUUUCUGAUGCUAUAUAAAAAAAAAGCAACAGCUAAAAGCAAAGACAGCAACGACCUUUGGGAGCUCUGAAGUUUCUUUGUAGCCGACAGCCAAAUAGGAGGAACCAGACGCUGAUUACUAAGCUGUAAUAUUCUAGGUGUUUCCAGCAACCUGCUGUGCUUGUAUUCUUUGUGUAUUUAUCCACUGUACUAAUGUUUCUGGACUGUUAAUGAAUCACGAUAAUAAGAAAACAGUUCCGUUAAACAAAUAUUAAAUAUGUAGCAGGAAACGCGUAGAUAUGCCAAGUCUUCAUAAAAGAGUGCAGCACUGUGGAUUUACGAGCAGUUAAAUUGUAUUAUCAGAUCAAUUACAAGGUAUGAUUAAUUAUUCAUUACCAUUCACAUUAAUAUGAAAUAUGUUUAGAUGUGUUGUUUUGAGAUGAGUUUUAUACCAACUGUUGGCACUAAUAAGGAAUUAAA